GGCUCUGUAGUCCAGGGCACUUAGGGGUCGUUUUUUGUCUUGUUAAGACUUUUGUAUUUGAGAAUUUUCAUAGGUAUUUUUGUUCUAAGACACCUUUUCUUUUGUUCACAAAUUAGGUAAUAAUUCUCAUAGGAAAUAAAGCAGAUUUGGAAGCACAGAGAGAUGUUACCUAUGAAGAAGCCAAACAGUUUGCUGAAGAAAACGGCUUAUUGUUCCUUGAAGCAAGUGCAAAAACGGGAGAGAAUGUAGAAGAUGCUUUUCUUGAGGCUGCCAAGAAAAUCUAUCAGAACAUUCAGGAUGGAAGCCUGGAUCUGAAUGCUGCCGAGUCUGGUGUACAACACAAACCCUCAGCCCCGCAGGGAGGACGGCUAACCAGUGAACCCCAACCCCAGAGAGAAGGCUGUGGCUGCUAGUGACCUCUUUGCUCUGGUCCCUCAUUUGACCUUUCACCUCUGUCUGUUGGAAGCAGUACUUUUUACUGCCUUCUUGUCUUCUGUACAUCUUACUGGGUUUAAUUAAAAAAAGAAAAAACAA
rnacentral:lncRNA from 1 species